UUUAUCUGCAUUCUAUCAUGAAUAGUGAGUCAGUCAGGUUUUAUGCGCUUUUAGCAAUAUUCCAGUAAUAUCAUGGUGGGAGGACACCCGAAAUGGGCUUCACACAUUGUACCCAUGUGGG